AUGCGCUCCUACGGUGGCGCCGCCGGGGGAGGCAGUGGCGGGUUCAAGAUAUUCUCGGAAGAGGAGCUCAAGAAGGCCACCAACAACUUUGCCGCUGACCAGAUCCUCGGUCGCGGCGGCCACGGCAUUGUGUACAGAGGUGUUCUGGAGGACAAGACCAUUGUGGCCAUCAAGAAGUCUAAAAUGAUGGAGGCCACAGAGACAAAGGAGUUCGCGAGGGUGAUGCUCAUCCUCUCCCAGAUCAACCACCGAAACGUCGUCAAGCUGCACGGUUGCUGCCUCGAGGUGGAGGUGCCUAUGUUGGUCUAUGAGUAUGUCUCCAACGGCACUCUCUACCACUACAUCCAUGGCGGCGAGGGCCACGACACCAACAAGGCACUCGACACCCGCCUACGGAUAGCGGCAGAGUCGGCCGAGGCGCUGUCGUACAUGCACUCGUCGGCCUCGCCACCGAUCCUCCACGGUGAUGUCAAGACGUCCAACAUCCUGCUCGACGGCAGCCUCACCGCCAAAGUCUCUGACUUUGGGGCGUCGAAGCUAGCACCAAGUGACGAGGCCGAGAUUGCGACACUGGUGCAAGGCACCUGCGGGUACCUAGAUCCGGAGUACCUCAUGACAUGCCAGCUAACGGACAAGAGUAACGUGUACAGUUUUGGCGUCGUUCUGCUCGAGCUCUUGAUGGGAAAGAAGGUGCUCUGCUUUGACGGGCCAGAGGAGGACAGGAGCCUUGUGUCCCGGUUCAUGACGGCCGUGAAAGCUGGCCAGCACGGUGAGCUCCUUGACGACCAGGUGAGAUUGGAGAUGGGCCCGGAGGCACUGGAGGAAGUAACACACCUCGUGAUGCGGUGUGUGAGCAUGAUGAGGGAGGAGCGUCCGUCGAUGAAGGAAGUUGCAGAGAAGUUGGAAGCUCUGAGGAGGUAUCAACGGAACCCAUGGGGUCAGGCUGGUGCUGAUCCGGAGGAGGGGCAAAGCUUGCUUGGCAGAGACGGUGAGCAACAACAUGAAGUGAAUUAUAAGUUGAGACCGCAAGAUCGUGCUUGA
rnacentral:rRNA from 1 species